AAGGAAACAAGCCAUGCCCCUUUAACUUGAUUCCUGUCUCGGUACAAACACUCAUAUUCAUCCAUGAAGUCUUUCUCAUAAAAUACUGGCCACCAACAAUUGAUAUAUCGGAAGUACCACUGUACGUUUUCAAAAGCCCAUUCUUUAUCCGGAAUAUCUUUGAAAGCAGCAUCGAAAUUUGGAAAUGUGCUAGAGAAUAAGUCGUCAAAAGAGGUCUUUUGAGAUGGCAAC